rnacentral:rRNA from 1 species
GAAGCCUGAUGCAGCCAUGCCGCGUGUGUGAUGAAGGCCUUCGGGUUGUAAAGCUCUUUCGUUGGGACGAAGGGCUGCCGGCUAAUACCCUGCAGUUUUGACGUUACCAACACAAUAACCACCGGCUAACUUCGUGCCAGCAGCCGCGGUAAUACGAAGGGUGCAAGCGUUAAUCGGAAUUACUGGGCGUAAAGCGCGCGUAGGUGGUUGGGUAAGUUGGAUGUGAAAGCCCCGGGCUCAACCUGGGAACUGCAUCCAAAACUGCCUGGCUAGAGUACGGUAAAGGGUGGUGGAAUUUCCUGUGUAGCGGUGAAAUGCGUAAAUAUAGGAAGGAACACCAGUGGCGAAGGCGACCUCCUGGACUGAUACUGACACUGAGGUGCG